CCUACUGCGCACGAAUUUUGAAAUUCAAGAAAGGAUGGUCGGAAGUUAACGGAAUUUCGUAUGGACGUCAUGCCACAGAGCAACGAACUCUGCUGGAAGCUGCAAUGAAUCAAAUUAACAAACAUCGCUGGUAAGUUCCUUAAUGCAUAACUUCAGUGACGAGAGAUGUCGUGCGCAUCGCAUCGCAUCAGUCAGUAUUGAUUUUAUCAUGGAGCAUUGACAUGUUCGGCAGUGAAUGGCUGCAAAACACUUUCGCUUGGAAUUAUAGGAUGUAGGUUUGGACAUUACAAGUCAGAGUGUUGUUCAAAACAAUUCAUCAGCAACCUGAAGAAUAACAACCUUGCCUACGAGUGGAAAGUACAGUGUUCUUCCUACAGCGAAGACAAGUAAACAUGUUCUAAUGACGUAAGCAAAAUGGAGUAAAGUAAAUUUUCCAUACGAGGUUUGAUAUCAGUGUAACCGUUACUUAAUGGGAAAAACCGAUAGAAUGACGUGAAAUGCCCGUCGACACACCAUGAGACCUGAGAAGAGACAUGUGUCUGUAUAAGUAAUACGUAAUAAACAUCCGGAUUUCACGAAUAAGCAGCACCUGGACGUGUGUAAAGUCGAUGUAAAUAUUUUAAUUUUGGUGAUGAAGCUAGAGGUGGUUGUAAUAUCUACAUCGUGUGAAAAUAAAAGCAUUUGAAAUAUUUUAA